UCGAUUACGAGGGGUAACAAUACAAAUAAAAUUCAUAAAAAUUAUAAAAAUACCUUAAUUCAUUAUUAGUGUUAAUCGAAUCAAUCGAUUAAAAUUGGUAGUGAUGCAAAUUUCGAAUCUUUUAACUAUGGUGAUCAAAUCUAUUGAUCAUUGCGGUUAAUAGUACAAAUUAAAUCAGGGUUGUACGCCCACUCUUAAAACACUUCCCAAACUUUUCAAAACAUCCAGUAUCAAAUUACACAUUAUCAUAGGCUAUUUCAAAAGCCUUUGAGGCAAAUUCCCAACCCUAUCAAAUUCAAAUUCUAAGGGCGUACAACCCUUCCCCGAACUACGUGGACUCUGAUUCUCCCUAAGGAGAUACGUAGACAUUUGGCAACAAGGCGAGUCCCCCUCCUCCAAAUCUUAAUCAUUUUCAAUAAUUAAACUUUUAACCCUAAUAAUUGUCUGUUACCCUUUUCUGCCAUAACCCUUAUCUUUGCAUGUUAACCUUUAGGAAAGGGUUUUGGGUGCCUAACACCUUCCCUUAACCCGAAUAUAGUAUCUUACCCUUAAUCUCUUAACCAUUAAAGGUUUCCUAUUCGCCUUGGUAGAAUAGGUGGCGACUCUCUAAGUAUAAUUUUUAGGCAGGUUGCUACACCUGCCAUGUUGAAAAACCUAUAGCUAUUUUGGCCUUUAACACAAUGUUAUACUCAUCAAAAGAAGAACUCCAAAAUUCUUCCGAUGACUAUUGGUGCUCAAUUCUCUCUUCUAGAAAAGAGGUAAACUUGUUUAUCUCAAUGCCUUUAUUUUCCAAUAAUAUUAAAUUGUUACUACUCAUGUUCAUUCUUUAAUAGGUUGAUCAACUUUCUAUCAAAAUUGAUUGUUUUCCAGAGUACUCAGAUUUGAGAAGCGCUCUUAACAUUUACGGGCUCCUCUUUAAGUGUUCAUCCAGCGUUGAGCAUGAUAGUUCAGAUUCUAACCAUGGAGGUCCACCCCAAAAUAUUAGAGCCUGGAUCAGAUUUGUCACUUCUUGUCGUCGGAUAAGAGUCUCGAAGGAUUUGAAUUGUAUCCAGACUGUUGAAUGUGUUUCAAAAGAUAGUAUUGAUUGUUGAUAACUAUUUUCUAGAUCAUGUCCAUAAGCAAUCUUCGCUUAAUUUCUCUUAUUCUUGUUGUCUUGGAUCUGCAGAGUUCAAAGGAUUUGAAUUGUAUCCAGACUGUUUAAUGUGUUUCAAAAGAUAGUUCUCGUUUUAAGCAACUUAGAAGCUCUAUUGCCUAUCAAAGCCUUAUUUAUUCUUUUGACGAAGUAUGAUCCUUACCCUUGCCAUCAAAUUUAUUUAUGUUUAUGCAUAUAAAAGUUUUGGUAGUGAAAUUUUGUAUUACUUGAUAUUUACAUGUUCUUUCCUCGGGCCAACAGUGCAGAAGAGAUUCUCAAAUCACUUGAUAAAAUUAACUUCAAAGAUAAAAGUUGCAAUUUCUUCAAAAUAUACAUUUACUUAUAACUCGUUUGGUGAAGACAAUCCAGAAAUCUACGAGAUGUUCUAUUCUUUUCUUAGACAUUGUUUUACCUUAAUUUGAGUGACUGACCUACGACCAUACGCAUCAAAGGUUCGUCAUAAGGCUUCGUAUCUUCUGCAUUUCUAUGUCUAAAAAGGAUUAGUACAAUAUCUUCAGUAUCAUGGCGAAUGUCAAGUUAUUGCUGCUACUUGUUGACCGGUAUCAAUCAACAUAUUUUGCAUAGCAUCUUAGGAUCUUUGAAUAUAUAACAAUUAACAAGCUUACAGAAAAUUCAACGACAUGUAUAUGUCCGUCAAAACCUCUGUAGCAUCGACAUCUUUGAAAAAAGGUUUUUAGUUUGUUUAUUAGCUUGUGUUCUAUGUGACUACUAUUAGAGAAUAAAAGUACAUAUAGGUCAGUAGAUUUGGUUAAUUUUAACAUAUAGGUUAUCACUGAUUACCUUGCUGUUGUAGCUGCACAUUUUGUUUAUUAAUUUCUCCGUUGACUCAAUUUUGUUUGUUACCUAAGUUGGUAUCUACCCUUGAGGAUGUGCGCAAAGCAAGUGCAGAAGCACAACAGAGAAUAUAUGCGCAUCUUGACAUAUGCAGGUUCUCUGUCAUUGAUUUUUUAGUUUCUUAUUGUAUUGGUGAUUUCUGUCAAUUUCAAUUUUUGGCCCGGGAGGAAUGCCUUAAUAUCUGAGGUAUUAAUGUAAGACAGUUUUGGCAUGUGGAUCAACAAACGUGAAGAAAUAUGUCUUGUCCUUAAAGCAUUUGCAGUGAGGAGGGACUGGGUGAAUGCUAAAACCAAAAGCUAUGUUCAAAUUUUGGAACAGUUUAUAUGACUUUAGAUGGAGACACGUGAAAGUGAAAGUGAAAAGUAAAGAGACACGUGAAAGUUCAUAGUUGUGGAUACACUAACAUACAAUAUAAGUAGGGAUUUUUUAUGUUAUAUGAAAAUUCAAAUAUAGAAAAUAGGAACAUGGAGUUGUUUGAUACAAUGUUUUAAAAACCGGACCGGUCAUCAAACCGGUGAGGAUACUGGGUCACUGGUUCAUCGGUCGAACCACUGGGUCACUGGUCGAACCGUAUGAGUAAACCGGAUUAAACCUAUCAUUAUAAUAAAACUAUAUAGGUAUAAAACUGAUCGAACCGGAUCAUUAAAUUUCUAAAAAAUAUAUAAUUAGCACUUAAAAGCUGAUCCAUUAACAUCAUAAUCUAUAAAUAAGGCUCUUAAAAAUUACAAAUUCAAAAGUUGUGCAUUAGGUGCUGAAAAUACUCAUAAUCCAUAUAAUUUAAGGCUCUUAGAUAGCAUUUCAGUAUACUCCUAAAGUCUUUAGACUGCAACAAAAAUAUAUUCUCUACAUUAUUUUCAGUAUCUCACUUUCUCUAAUAUAUUCACCAUAUCAGAGUAUUAGACUGCAUUUUAGUAUCUCACUUUCUCUAAUAUAUUCACCACAUUGUCAUUAUUUUCAGUAUCUCACUUUCUCUAAUAUAUUCACCAUAUCAGAGUAUUAGACUGCAUUUUAGUAUCUCACUUUCUCUAAUAUAUUCACCACAUUGUUUUAGAAAGUUUUUUCCAUGGCAGUAGACAAUAAUACAAGACCUCCAUAUGAUAGUUUUUUAGAAAACAACAAUAAUACAUUAUUACAACUCAUCAUUCUUAUGAUCAAAUAAAACAACAAAUUAUAGAGUUCAAAACCAAAAAAAACACUCCACUGCUAUCACAACAAUAAUAAUACAUUAUUACAACUCAUCAUUCUUAUGAUAAAAUAAAACAACAAAUUAUAGAGUUCAAAACCAAAAAACACUCCACUGCUAUCACAAGAUUAAUUCAAUCUUGUAAUUAAUUCAAUCUAUCACAAGAUUUAAACACCAAAUACUCUUGUAUAAAAUAUACUCAUAAAACAACAACAACAAAUUCCAACAAUAUAAUCUUGAACUAACCCUAAUAUUGAUUAGAUAUGAGAAUAAAAAACGAAAAAACUUA